GGAAACUACUACAAGGAUCAUGGAAGGAUUCUCUACAACUUCUACGGAUCAGAAUCUCGUUUCGAAGAUUUUUGGGUUUCGGCGUAAAAUCGAGGUUUUGGAACUCGGUUCGCUGUUUAGGGACCUUGGAGUUCGGGAUUUGCUUACGGGGUUAAGGUACGGAGAGUGGCCGGCUCUAUAUCCGAGGGCGUGAGCCUAUUUCAGCAGAUCAGGCCGAAGGGUAUGGAUCCACCAGUUAGAGUCGGUACGAUGCCAUGGGAGUCGAGGACUAGCCAUGUGUCGGUGGCGCCGUGCUUCGCAGGUUAGCUACGGGCCAACGCCGGAAUGCCAAACCGGCUUCGGGCCGAUGGGUGUGACGACAUCGGAUUACUGAUCAUGUCCUUCGAGUAACCGGAACUAGCGUCUUGGUGUAAGGAGCGUAGUGGCCAGUGUACUACGUUAGCACUUGGGUAAGUGUUAGGAUUGUAGUUUUGUUGGGUUGCCAUUUUGAGUUGUAUUUGGG